rnacentral:rRNA from 1 species
AGCUAGUUUGGUAGGGGUAACGGGCCUACCAAGGCGAUGAUGCAUAGCCCGAGUUGAGAGACUGAUCGGGCCACAUUGGGACUGAGACACGGGCCCAAACUCCUACGGGAGGCAGCAGUUAGGGGGAAUCUUCCACAAUGGACGCAAAGUCUGAUGGAGCAAAACGCCGCGUGAGUGAAGAAGGGUUUCGGCUCGUAAAAGCUCUGUUGUUGGUGAAGAAGGACAGGGGUAGUAACUGACCCUUUGUUUGACGGUAACCAAUUAGAAAGUCACGGGCUAACUACGUGCCCAGCAGCCGCGGUAAAU